rnacentral:rRNA from 1 species
GACAGAGGUGCCAAGCGUUUAGGCGGAAUCACUGGGCUUAAAGCGUGUGUAGGCGGAUCGUUAAGUACCUUGUGAAAUCCCACGGCUCAACCGUGGAACUGCUGGGUAUACUGGCGGUCUUGAGCCACCUAGGGGCAACUGGAACAAGCGGUGGAGCGGUGAAAUGCGUAGAUAUCGCUUGGAACGCCAACGGUGAAAACAGGUUGCUGGGGGGUGUGCUGACGCUGAGACACGAAAGCCAGGGGAGCGAACGGGG